UCAGUUCGGAUCGGAGUCUGCAACCCGACUCCGUGAAGCUGGAUUCGCUAGUAAUCGCGCAUCAGCCAUGGCGCGGUGAAUACGUUCCCGGGCCUUGUACACACCGCCCGUCAAGCCAUGGGAGCCGGGAGCGCUUGAAGUGCGUCGCCGCGAGGCGCGCCCUAGAGCGAGACCGGUGACUGGGGCUAAGUCGUAACAAGGUAAC
rnacentral:rRNA from 1 species